GGGCACGCGACAGCUCUUCGUCUUCCACCGAACGACCGGUUGGACGAAGCACAGCAAACUCGUGGAGCACGUGAGCAUCGGCGACACGACCAGCUGGGUGGGAACACUCAUAGACGCCGGAGAACGUUCGCACCGAAUUCUCGCUAAAAGGUGACCAUGGAGUCGCAGAAUGACAAUCUGGAUUCGUGCCAGUCAAGCAGGGAGCCGUGCCCAGACUGCGGUUCUCCGGUCAGCGCCUCGGAGCUGUCGGCGCACCUGCGCGAGCUCUGCUCCAAGCGGAAGGUUCGCUGCAGCCGCCACUGCGGCCUAAGCCUGAGCGCCGACCGCCUGCGUGACCACGACUGCGGGCAGGAAUUGCGCAGCUUCAUCGAAUAUCUGGAGCGCAUGCGAGACGAGCUGCGCCACCGGCUUGACUACUUGCAGCAGCACGUGUAUCGCGUGCAACGGCCGGCGAAACGACUCCCAGCCGGGAUGUAGAUGCGCACUGCGCCCCCGUGUACAACGCGUACCGGGACACAAUACAGUUGGCCUGCAAUCGAUAAAGUUACGUGCAUAAACAA